GACUAUGAUGAAUAUAGCUAUAUUCUGACACCUCUUGUAUGAGAUGAGUCGAAAGAUUCAUCUUUGAGCACAUAAAGCAACACUCUGAGUC